GACGAACGCUGGCGGCGUGCCUUAUACAUGCAAGUCGAACGAGAAAGCCCUCUUCGGAGGGUGAGUAAAGUGGCGAACGGGUGAGUAACACGUAGGUAAUCUGCCCAUAGAUCGGGAAUAACGCUUCUAACGAGGUGCUAAUACCGGAUGAAGCACUUAUUUUAAUUAUAGGUGUUAAAGAUGGCUUCGGUUGUCGUCUAUGGAUGAGCCUGCGCUCCAUUAGCUAGUUGGCAGAGUAAAAGCCUACCAAGGCUACGAUGGAUAGCCGGCCUGAGAGGGUGUCCGGCCACACUGGGACUGAGAUACGGCCCAGACUCCUACGGGAGGCAGCAGUAAGGAAUAUUGCGCAAUGGUCACAAGACUGACGCAGCAACGCCGCGUGGGUGAUGAAGUUCUAUGGAACGUAAAGCCCUGUUAAGAGGGACGAA
rnacentral:rRNA from 1 species